rnacentral:rRNA from 1 species
AUUGAACGCUGGCGGCAGGCCUAACACAUGCAAGUCGAACGAGUGGCGGACGGGUGGGUGAUGUAUUGGCACCUGCCUGAUCGAGGGGGAUAACUACUGGAAAAGGUGGCUAAUACCGCUUACGAUCGGAUGGGCCCAUAGGGGAUUAGCGAGUAGGUGGGGUAAAGGCUCACCUAGGCGACGAUCCCUAGCUGGUCUGAGAGGAUGAUCAGCCACACUGGGACUGAGACACGGCCCAGACUCCUACGGGAGGCAGCAGUAGGGAAUAUUGCGCAAUGGGCGCAAGCCUGACGCAGCCAUGCCGCGUGAGUGAAGAAGGCCUUCGGGUUGUAAAGUUCUUUUGUUAGGGAAGCGUUAUCUAAAGAAGAAGCCCCGGCUAACUACGUGCCAGCAGCCGCGGUAAUUC